rnacentral:rRNA from 1 species
UAGGGAAUAUUGGUAAUCUGGGAAACCGGGAACCAGCAACGCCGCGUGCGCGAUGAAGGCCUUCGGGUUGUAAAGCGCCUUUUAAAGGGAUGAGGAAGGACAGUACCUUUGGAAUAAGCCUCGGCUAACUACGUGCCAGCAGCCGCGGUAAAACGUAGGAGGCGAGCGUUAUCCGGAUUUACUGGGCGUAAAGCGUGUGCAGGCGGUUUGAUAAGUUGGAUGUGAAAGCUCCUGGCUUAACCGGGAGAGGUCGUUCAAAACUAUCAGACUAGAGAGUGGUAGAGGGAGAUGGAAUUCCGCGUGUAGUGGUGAAAUGCGUAGAUAUGCGGAGGAACACCAGUGGCGAAAGCGGUCUCCUGGCCCAUUUCUGAUGCUCAGACACGAAAGCUAAGGUAGCAAACGG